rnacentral:lncRNA from 1 species
AAAAGUAUUAAUUUAUUAAAGGCUUUUAAUUAUCUACAUGAUGCUGCUUUAUAAAAUGUGAUAAACCCAUAGUUUUAAGCAAUGCUUUUAGAAUACUGAUGAUGAUCAUUCUAAUGAGAUCUAAAUUCUUAGAACGCUUAAAACUAAAAUAGUUCCCAAUUGUUGGAUUACUAAAUUGGGGAUUAGUGAAUCCGGAUAGAUUGGUACAUAUGUUGCUAGCUCAUCGGAUGAGGAUGAUUGAUCUCAUGAUCAUUUGUGUGGAGACACUAAAGCAAGUAUAUGGUGCUUAUUGGAGAAUAAGUUCACUGAACGUGGCUCACUGACGAAUACCUAAUG